GACCUUAGGUAUUGCACUCAUCCUUCCUCUUUUGGGUGAGAUGUGAGGAGAUAAAAUCCCCAUGUGAUGAGAUGAAGUGAGGUUAGUAACGCAGGCAUUGUGAUGUAGCACGAGGCCACUACUGACCUUCCGACAACAGUCAGGAGGAGGCUCAUGUGCCGUGGAACCCCAGUUAACCAUGGGUAACUGAAACUCUGGAGGCAGAACCAUGGGUACCACUGUGUAUGUAAGUGUUAACUUCUCACAAAUGAACUCCCACGUACUCUUUCCAUGUUUUAUAGGAUUUUUUCAAGUAGUUUCUGAAAACUUUCUAAGUAUAUUCAGAGACACUGUGCAACCCAACCCCAGGGGGCAAUGUCCACACUGCUGUCAAUGAGACUAAAGACCCCCAGUCGUCUGUAUGAUGGGUACGAGCAACUGUAAGGCCCCCAACUGCUACGUCACUGAAAUCUGUGACUAGAAUCACUCAGCUUUACUGGGUCCGUCUCAACAGUCCCAAAAUGUCGACAAGAGGUCUCCAGGGGGGUGACUGAGAAGUACAUCUUAAUCAUGUAUAAGCGGCAUGUUAAUUUUUUCUCUUCACAUAGAGUAUACCCACUUCUUUUUUUGCCCCAAACCUCCUUUUCUCUCUUUCCUGCUUAAGGUUCUCAGAAAAAGUCAGAAACUAUAAAUGAGGUUAUUAAACUUGAAUGUCCUUGCUCUAAUCUGUAAAGAGAUAAAAUCCACAAUGUUUACUGGGCUGCUUGGAAAGUCUGUAACUGAACCUCUAACUGGAAAAGCUUCACAAUGAAAAACAAAGCUCCACAAGUUCUAGCUACAAAAAGCGAUGUCCUAAUUUGGGUGCAGUGCUAAGAAUACUCUAAGUAAUAAUCCCACUGGUUCUAUGCCUGGGAGUAACAGAAUGUCACAGCCUCCUGACAAACGAUGCUUUCGUUUUCUUCCUAGAUUUCUUCUUUUAUCACUACGCUAUAGAAUUUCUUUUAUUCCUAUGGGAUGGAACCCAUUUUGAGUCUUAUCCCCAGGGUCUAAGACAAUUACAACAGCACACGUGGAGCCUUGUUUAUGAGGGGAUGGGAGACAGCCGUGGAUCUUUUAAGGCUGGGGCUGGAGACGGGCGAUAGAGGUGUUUCCAAUCGGAGAAACACCCCUGCCAAACUCUCAGGCAGAACAGACCCCCAGGUCCUCUUCGCUGCUACUGUUUUUGCUCAGCUUAACAGUUUACGCUGCACGGAAGGAGGCAGUGGAGCAGUGCAGUGGGAGAGCUUGUCCGGGAGACAGGGUAAGACACUGCUGGAGGGUGGCAUCCGGAGGAGAUAAGAGGGACUGAGUACAAGAACAUGUGGAGAAAUUCGUUUUGGAAAGAGAUACUUCUUCCUUUGAUCCUUGAAGAGCAGAGCAAGAAUAGAUUCAGAUAGAGAUAAAAAUGCAGGUUGAACUUGGAAACUGAGGGAGGUUCAUGCCUUAUGGCAGAGCUUCUCAAACUUUCUGGGUAUUCAGAACCCUAAUAGCUCUGUUUCUUAGAUGUUCAAACAAUCUAGAAGUAUUUGUUUCUAGUGAUGUAGCAGUUUGAAAAAUAAAGUGGGCACUGUAUAGUCUGUUCUGGUUUUAGUUUAACAGCACAUACAAUUCACCCGUUUAUGAAGUGUAUAAAUCAGUGGUUUUUAGUAUAUUCAGGAUUGUGCCGCUAUCACCUCAGACAGUAUUGACACACUGGGGAGCCUGGGUGGCUCAGUCGGUUAAGCAUCUGACUUCGGCUCACAUCAUGAUCUCGUGGUUUGUGGGUUCAAGCCCUGCACUAGCUGUGUGGACAGCUCGUAGCCUGGAGUCUGCUUCGGAUUCUGUGUCUCCCUCUCUCUCUGCCCCUUCCCUGCUCUCUCUCAAAAAACAAACAUUAAAAAAAAAGUAGAACAUUUUCAUCACCCCAAAAAGAAACCCCAUACCCAUUACCAGUCACUCUUUCUCCCUCACCCUCCCCUCCUCUAG